UACAGAGGUCUCAACCGUUGUUCGGAUUCAUUGGGCGUAAAGGGCGCGUAGGCGGCAUGCCAAGCGUGUGGUGAAAGCCCGGGGCUCAACCCCGGGUCGGCCGUGCGGACUGGCGUGCUCGAGCACUGUAGGGGCGGGUGGAAUUCCGGGUGUAGCGGUGGAAUGCGUAGAGAUCCGGAGGAACACCGGUGGCGAAGGCGGCUUCCUGGACCGAUUACUGACGCUGAGGCGCGAAAGCUAGGGGAGCAAACGGG
rnacentral:rRNA from 1 species